rnacentral:rRNA from 1 species
CCUACGGGGGGCAGCAGUGGGGAAUAUUGCGCAAUGGGCGAAAGCAUGACGCAGCGACGCCGCGUGAGGGAUGAAGGUCUUCGGAUCGUAAACCUCUGUCAGCAGGGAAGAACGGUCACUGUGCGAAUCAGCAGUGAAUUGACGGUACCUGCAAAGGAAGCACGGGAUAACUCCGUGCCAGCCGCCGCGGUAAUACUGAGGGUGCGAACGUUAGUGGGAAUUACUGGGCGUAAAGCGCCCGUAGGCGGUAUGUCAAGUCAAGGGGGAAAUCCCCGCGCUCACCGUGGGAACUGCCUUUGAAACUGGCAAACUGGAGUGUGUGAGAGGAUAGCGGAAUUCCAGGUGUAGGA